GGGGCUGUGGCUCAACGGGAGAGCGUCUCAAUGGCAUUGAGAAGGUUAGGGGUUCGAUUCCCCUCAGCUCCACCA
rnacentral:tRNA from 1 species